GACUACGGCUGGCGGCGUGCCUAAUACAUGCAAGUCGAACGGGAUUCUUUGAUCAGCUUGCUGAGAGAAGGAUCUAGUGGCGGACGGGUGAGUAACGCGUGGGAAUCUGCCUCUUACUGGGGGAUAACAGUGGGAAACUACUGCUAAUACCGCAUAAGAUCUUCGGAUGAAAGGUGCAACUGCACCGGUAAGAGAUGAGCCCGCGUCCCAUUAGCUAGUUGGUGAGGUAAAGGCUCACCAAGGCGACGAUGGGUAGCCGGCCUGAGAGGGUGAACGGCCACACUGGGACUGAGACACGGCCCAGACUCCUACGGGAGGCAGCAGUAGGGAAUCUUCCGCAAUGGGCGCAAGCCUGACGGAGCGACGCCGCGUGAGUGAUGAAGGCCUUCGGGUCGUAAAGCUCUGUUCUUGAGGACGAAUAAGCCAGGGAGUGGAAAGCCCUGGUGAUGACUGUACUCAAGGAGAAAGCUCCGGCUAACUACGUG
rnacentral:rRNA from 1 species